GCUGGGUAAAGGCCAACCUCUUCAGCAGCAGCUUCACUUAACUCUUUCUCAAGCAUUUCAACUUCGGAUUUCAAUUGGACUUUGUUGUCAGAAUGGUGGUUUGUUGUCUUUUGUUUUUCACUUGAUAUGUAAUUUAAAUCACCUUUGUGAAAAUUUUCGGGAACACCAAUUUUGUUUGCCGUCUUCACGAACUCUAUAUUGUUGAAGGGUUCAUCACUUUCAGCUAUAUGAAACUGUUGUUGAACAGACUUCAGACGCUUUAAUUUAUCUCUACGUGUAUUUCCCUGCACUGCAUUUGACAUCCUGUUGGAUGCAAGGGUAUUACUCCUUAAAUUGACUUGUCUUUUCAUAGGUUCUUGAGGUAACCUACCAACAGAUUGUUCCUCCUCUAAACUAUGAUUCUUUAACACCAUCAGAUCCUCUUCCUGUCUACUAUCUUCGUUCUUUUUGAGUUUAUCUUCCAUAAGACCAACUUGUAAAU
rnacentral:misc_RNA from 1 species